GGAGCCUCAGGAUUGACAGCUCAUCUGCGGGUUUGAGAACCUUUGUGCUCAGGACCUCCGGUUACCAAAUCAUGCCACUUACGGUGACCAUUCUCAAAAGAUGGCAGAAGGAAGAAGGAUGAGGAAGACUUGAGCCUGGCCGGGCAAUCCUUGGUUUCCUCAUGAACCCUUGCAAUCGGGUUACAUUUUGAACAUCACUGGGACAUGCUAAGAACUCCUCUGGAGCACAGCAGUGCUCACAUCAAUAGUCCAGCAGAUUGAGCACGGAGAUGUCAGCAGACACACUUGCAAGUUUGGUGAGUAAUAAUGAAAGUACUCAGUUCCGUGAUUCAUACUAUAGUGUUGACAGGUCUGGGAAUAUAGUCUUAAUUUAAAAUUGCUUCGGAUCUUUUCUCCAGGUCUGAAAACCAGAGGGACCGUGCCCACGAUCCCCGCCGUUUCCCUGACCAGCACGGCUGUGGCGAGUUCGUUGUUCAAUCCCGGAUGGCUCAGCAAAUCCAACCCCCUCCGCCCUGUUCUAUCGCCG
rnacentral:lncRNA from 10 species